rnacentral:rRNA from 1 species
AGUGAACGCUGGCGGCGUGCCUAAUACAUGCAAGUCGAACGGAAUUUAAAAGAGCUUGCUCUUUUAAAUUUAGUGGCGCACGGGUGAGUAAUAUAUAGCUAAUCUGCCCCUUGCUGGAGGACAACAGUUAGAAAUGACUGCUAAUACUCCAUACUCCUUUUUACCAUAAGAUAAAUCGGGAAAGAAUUUCGGCAAGGGAUGAGACUAUACCGUAUCAGCUAGUCGGUGGGGUAACGGCCUACCGAGGCUAUGACGCGUAACUGGUCUGAGAGGAUGAUCAGUCACAUUGGAACUGAGACACGGUCCAAACUCCUACGGGAGGCAGCAGUAGGGAAUAUUGCGCAAUGGGGGAAACCCUGACGCAGCAACGCCGCGUGGAGGAUGACACUUUUCGGAGCGUAAACUCCUUUUGUUAGGGAAGAAUAAUGACG